UAGCACAAAGAAUGAUGAAUAAUGUAUCUCAUUUUAGGCUUGAUAUAAUUUUUUUCAAGAAAUAUGCAUGUUCAGAUAGUUGCUAUUAAAUGGCGUUAAAGUGUUGAUGUCUCUUACUGAAAAAAAAAACAAUUUUUUUUUACUUUUCUUGCAAAAUUGAGUACAUAAUGCUAAGGUCUGCUUUUCUGUUUAAUUCAAAUCGUCAUUUUAUUUAUUGGAUAUUCUGUGCAUUUGAUUUAUAUGAAGUGGGAAGUUUUUUCAAGUUAUUCAGCUCCAAUCGAUAAACUUGCUGAUAUGUUGGAUACGGUAAAUGAAUAUCUGCAACAUGAUGCCACUAUACUGUCUGAGCAGGACUUGCUGCAGAUUGUUAGGCCACUGUGUGAAGACAUCAAAGUUGAAAGAAUUCUGAAAUUGGAAAUUUCGCGGCUUUAAAAGCAUUCAUUUGAGCUGAGCAAGGGUUAUUUAGUUUUCUUUAUUUAUCAAAAAACAGAUGGAAUAGUUUCAUCGAACUCGGAUCGAAAACUGUUUUGGAAACUUGCUUUGUCUCAAAUCGUUCACGGUUGUUAAAGAUGACUGCUGCCCCUGCUCUUAUUUUGGUUUUCUUUGCAUCUAAAUAAUUGCUAUAUAAUUUGAUACACUGGAUUCAGAAAUUUUUACUGUAUCGACAAUUUAUCCCUCAGUCCCACCUUAAUUAUUGCUUACCUGGAUCAGACGAUAAGAGUACAGCGUCAUGUUUGUCUCUGCUGAAGUCUAUAAGCAUUUUUAUAUGAUAUCGGCAUGUACAAAAGUGUCUAAGGCCUUUCACACAAAGAAACGUGAAAUAGUUUCACAAGCAGCUUGUAGAGAAGACUGUUUCUGUAGCAUCUGUUUAUAUUGGCCUGAGUUUACUUUCUCGAUUCAGAUAGUGGCUUCAUGGGGUGAUCUGAGUCAAAUUUUUCAGCUGGUGGAAACCAUUUUGCAUGUGUUUCGAGAAUUCUUAAGAGAAUUCCCCAUCAUCAAAUAGUACUUUACUAGACCAGCUCGAGAAAUUGACAGUUCUUUAGCUUUGCACUUUUCGUUUUUUAGAUAUCAGUUCAGGACAAGAAAAGGGAUGCAGACAAAUUCUACCUAUUUUGGAUGUAGUAAAAGAAAGUAAAAUGCGAGUGAAUUCAGUGAUAUUGGACAACUGCUGUUGGUUUGGCCGCCUUCUGCUGCAACUGAGAUGAAGAUUCAUUAGAUGUUGCCACCCACAUUCGUUUGUUGUAGGAAAUUAAAGCAGCAGCUCGAGGACUGGUUCAGUUGGAGCAAAUAUUCACGUUAUUUCGAAGCUGAUAGCAAAAAUCAACGCUAUGAUAGAAGGCCAGAAUCAAUUGGGGGAAAUGUUCACUAAAUAUGCAACUAAAAUAUCAUAGGAAGAUGACCAGAAGAAGGAAGAAUCCAAAUUGAUCUUAAAAUACUCUUUGGUGAAAGCCUCUCACUUGGCCUUGGUAAUCCUUCUUUUGAAUAUAACCAUUAUAUUUGGUAUUCCUUUACACAACGUAACUAAAUACAUAUCGCAAGAUAGAUGUUCAAAUAUUGCCUUACGAUCGCUUUUUAUUAGUUCGAAAUCGGCAAUAAUAUUUGUACAACGAAUUGGUAUGUCACAAGAUGUAGUUCUAUUUACAAAUGCCCAAAUGUAGAUCCAGCUGAGACGUGUCAAAACUGCUUCUUCAAGCUCUGACGUCUGCCAAUGACAUCUUUUUUCUUUAGUUGGUAAUGCUAGAGAAGGCUCAAGAGCCUAUGGCUAAGCGCUAACAAGGAAAAGGGAGGAGGGAUUAGGAAGAGAGAGAGAAAAGAUCAGGCUUCUAUAUUUUUGCUUUGAAUAAAGACAGGUUUUAAGAGUCUGGAAAGCAGGAAGGGGGUAAAGCAUCCCAAAGUUUGCAAGAUCUAGGGAGGAAGGAAAGAGUUGUGGGAUUGAGUUCGUGAGUUUGGGAAGGAGAUUUGGAAAGGGUGAGGGCUAGAAGAGAAUCUGGUAUUACGUACAUGUCUCAAAGGGGCCAGGGAUCAUAUCUCUGAUAUCCUGAGAGCAAUGGGCGUGGUAAUACAACUUUCAGUGACCGAGCAAGAAGUGAUGUUAACCAAGAGGCCCGAUUAAAUAUGAUUAAAAGACUGUUAAGAUAUGUUAGACAGGAAAACGCUCAGGAAGAGAAACGGACACAUUCUAACCGUGACUGAUUUUGCUUAUCUGUUUUUAUAAAAUGCUUCUCUCUACCUAACUCUUUUAAGUAUUGUUUUUUCAUCUUUAUUUUGUAUGAUGUUCUGUUUUGUUCACCUCUUUUAAUCUUCUUGGGUAUUAGUCGAUUAGUUCGAGUGUCCCAAUAUUUAGGCUUUUCUCUAAGAAUUUUCUCUCGAUCACCAUUUUCGUCGCCAUUUUAUUAUUAACAAACGAUCGUUCUUCUUUUUACAGUAAGUCGAUUAUGCAUGCUUAGACUGGCAGUUGCUUAGAAAAUUCAUUUGGGCACAUUCAAAAUUCAGAAGCUGCUUGGUUUUUCGGAUGGCUGCAGUCUGAUGACGCAGUGGACUUUUUUCAAAGAUAAUGGUGAUGACCAUCCUUGAGCACUUGAGGAGCGAACCGAUAGAGUACAAGGACAUUUAGAGAUUUCUUGAUCUGAUGGAGCAGUCAUCUCAAAAGACUGCUUUUGGAUUCAAGGUAAAGAUAUUGUAUGAUUAUUUUUGUAAAUAUAAUCUUUAUCAUCAUUACUUCUACAACGGAAUCCCAGUGUCCAAUUUUUAAGCAGUUAUUUUUCGUCAUUGUAGACUAUCCUCUAUAGUGGCCCAACUUGACACAAGUUCUUCUACAAGGGACCAAUUCGACAAAUGCUCUUUUCAAAGGCCUGUUUUGAAGAACAUUUUUCUCUAGACCCCCGUGUUGACGAACGCUCUUUGCCAUAGGUCCAUUUGAUGGACGUUCUUCUCCCGAGACCUAGUUCUUUUAGUGUUACCGUAUUUUAUAUGAUAAUAAAACGAAUACUUAGACAAGAUUAACACUUCAACGAGACUGCUGUUUUGAAUGUGUCUUCUGUGCCCUAUGCCGUAAAUUUACAGUUAAAAAUUAAUCUCAUAAAAGUCGUUUCUGCUUUUGGUAAUCGGAACGCUUAACCUUCAAUGGCGCCAUUACCAAUGAUAAUGAACAAACUAAUUUGAGCAACUGUGGUAGAUUUGUGGCUGUGGUUGUUCAUUGUUGUUGCAGUUGGUUAUUUCCGUCAACCACGACACUACGAGGCCAUAAAUGGCGGGAUG